GACGAACGCUGGCGGCGUGCUUAACACAUGCAAGUCGAGCGGUAAGGCCCUUUCGGGGGUACACGAGCGGCGAACGGGUGAGUAACACAUGGGUGACCUGCCCUCAGCUCGGGGAUAAGCCUGGGAAACCGGGUCUAAUACCGGAUAUGACUCCAUGACGCAUGUUGUGGGGUGGAAAGCCUUGUGCGGCUGAGGAUGGGCCCGCGGCCUAUCAGCUUGUUGGUGGGGUGAUGGCCUACCAAGGCGACGACGGGUAGCCGGCCUGAGAGGGCGACCGGCCACACUGGGACUGAGACACGGCCCAGACUCCUACGGGAGGCAGCAGUGGGGAAUCUUGCGCAAUGGGCGAAAGCCUGACGCAGCGACGCCGCGUGAGGGAUGACGGCCU
rnacentral:rRNA from 1 species